CUGAGUUUGAUCCUGGCUCAGAACGAACGCUGGCGGCAGGCCUAACACAUGCAAGUCGAACGGAUCCUUCGGGAUUAGUGGCAGACGGGUGAGUAACGCGUGGGAAGCUACCUUGUGGUAGGGGACAACAGUUGGAAACGACUGCUAAUACCCUAUGAGCCCUAUGGGGGAAAGAUUUAUCGCCAUGAGAUGUGCCCGCGUUAGAUUAGCUAGUUGGUAAGGUAAUGGCUUACCAAGGCGACGAUCUAUAGCUGGUCUGAGAGGAUGAUCAGCCACACUGGGACUGAGACACGGCCCAGACUCCUACGGGAGGCAGCAGUGGGGAAUAUUGGACAAUGGGGGCAACCCUGAUCCAUGCCAUGCCGCGUGUGUGAUGACGGCCUUAGGGUUGUAAAGCACUUUCAGCAGUGAAGAUAAUGACAUUAAC
rnacentral:rRNA from 1 species